rnacentral:lncRNA from 1 species
AAAGCUCUGGCUGCAGCGAGAACGUCUCCGUCGCUGCAGCUGUGGUGGUGGUGAUUGUGUGGAAUGUUUGAAGAUAGGGAAGAGGAGUGGUUUGGCAAGGUGGGUCUGUCUAAUUUGGCCAUUUUUGGAGUGGGAGAUGAUUAUGAAGCCUGCUUCACAUUAAUGCAGGGGCGGAUUUGUUGUUGGGUUUCUGUUCUCUAGUAUUCUCUUCUGGUUUUCUGGGAGGAACUUUAAUUUGGAAAUUUGUGUUUGUUGGUUGGAUUGUGGAAGGAGUGGCUGGGGAUUUGGUGGGAAAAUUGGAGGGAUGUGAUUGGGUGGAGAUGGGGGGGCCAAUGUGAGAGUGGGAGAGGACUGAGCGAGAGAAGGACUGAAGAAAAGGCGAGUGCUUUUUCAAUCUUUCAGUUUGAAUUUGAAACGGCUAGCUAAGCUUAGAAAAAUGUGCUAGCCUUGGAACAGGCUUUUUUUUUGGCUUGGGAACUGGCUUCUCCUUGUUUCUUCUCAGGUUCUUUUUCCUUGGCAAGUCCAACUAUUAUAAAACUUGCAAAAUCUACCCUCAACUUUUACAAAUCACCAAUCUAGUUUGUUUUUAUUCUUGGUGGUAGGCUCGGCAUUCAAAACCGGUUUACCGAAUACCCGCCCGUUCUCGGCCGCUUUGAAUGGUUUUUUUUACCCGUUUGAGCGGGUUUUUGACCAAUUUCUGGCAAACCCAUCAUCCGAAACAACGGGCACGGGCAGGGUUUCGGUAUAUUGGUAUCCGGCCCGGACAACCGGUCAUAUCCAUAUAACUCCCCUUCUCUGUUCCCAAAAUCCUUGAUUCUUUCGUUACCCAUAAAUGCCUGAUAGCCAUUAACUCCCCCUUCUCUAUUUCCAAAAUCCACAAUCGCGUUUCCACAAUUAUACUCUUCCAUAUGCUUCCUCUUCAAUUCUUCUGGUGGGUAAGGAGCUCACCGAUGAUGUACCUUCGGUAAUCCCAUGCAGGCGGAGCAGCGACAAGAUCGGCCAAAGUAAGCUCCGGUUCCGGCGGAUUGGCCAGCGACAGCUCCGUGACAUUGGUAGCCACAGUGUUGGUUGACAUCAGGUGAAUUGCGAUGAGAAAUUUGUAGGGGGAGGGACGACUCUCAAAGAAAGAAAACAAAACAACUCUUAUACAAGAGGAAAGCAACUCUUAUACAAGAGCAAAACAAACAGUGAAGAAGCAAUGAAUCUUUACGUGUCUAAAAAAUUGAGGAUGAGCAGAGACGAAGAGAAGGACGACGAGCGAACACGGGAGCGGUGAUUAGGGUUUUACGGUAGCUACAUCGCGAGAUGCACUUCCUUUCAAAC